AUUGAUUCCAUUUCCAAACUAUUAUUCUAUGUGAAUAUAUAAUUUGGUAAUUAUAUGUAAAAAGGAGAUGCAGUAGGAUUGAAAUAGCUACAGUCAUAUAACUAUACUUUAAUUUCUGUAUCAAUCUUCCUGGGAGUUAUUUAUUCCCAAGCAUCAUUAAGGGGGGUUUAAUAUAUAGAGAGGGGGCUUAAUAUAUAGAGAGGGGGC